AUGAUACUCCCUCCGUCCAACAAAGGGUGUCUCAACUUUGACUAAAUUUGAAUGCAUCUAUACACUAAGUCAUGUCUAGAUACAUCCAAAUUUUAACAAACUUGAGACAUCUUUUGUUGGACGGAGGGAGUACAAC
rnacentral:pre_miRNA from 1 species